CUUGGUUUUUUAGGUAUAUGCAUAGAAUGAGCAAGCCUCAAGGAACAAAAUCAUAAGCCAGCCUGCCUUUACAACCAUCCUGCUGGACUAGUUCUCCUGCCCUGGAUGAAAACUCAGAUUUGAACCAGCCCUUCCCAGAAUUUGGAGAUAGUCUUCGGGACUCAGGAACAUUUAGACUCCAGCAGAUAUCCUAACAGUGGAUGGAAGAGGAUGAAGAACAGAGCGUAGAGCCUGGCCCUCCCAGUGAAACGAGGCAAGUAGCUGAACUAAGGCCCUGGAAUUAACCCACCCCAGGUGAGUCAACACUGGGUCAAAAGACCAAAAAAAGAAAAAAUGGAGAAAGCACAGAACCAGCUUGGCAGCUUUCCCUGUAAAACCACAUCUUCUAUGUUAUGCCAGCAAAACAUGCACAGAGGGAAUUUCCCUGGUCCAG
ensembl:lncRNA